GAAACACUGAAGAUUUUAUCUAAAGGGGGAAUUACACCAUAAAGGACUGGUUGAGAAAUCAAAAACACCUCAGUAAAAUUCUUGACCACCUAGGAUGAUACGUGAGCAGAAUCACACUGAACUCCACAGGACUGAAGGAGUGAACCCCAUCUGCAGCAGGGAGGAACAUGACCUCAGCUUCUAGAACAUGUAUCUUUCUCUUCCUCUGCAAAGGAGGAAUGUAAACAAGCUCUCUAUGUGAAAUUGGAAAGGAGUGCUGGGGUGACCUCUACCAACCCACGCUACUGGGCAGCCAUGGAGCAGCUUUGAAAUGGCUCUUGUCUGAGCUCUGAUGAGAGCAGCUGGAGCCUCUGCACAUGCUGAUGUGGAGUGUCACUGGUGUAGCAAUACCGAGGUAGGUGUUCUCAGUUAAGAGAUUUUUAUUCUGUACUUCAUCUGGUAAAGGUGGAGCAUGUCAAUCUAAGGGCUUGUCCUCAGGGACAAUGUCUCAGG